GAGUUUGAUCGUGGCUCAGGAUGAACGCUGGCGGCGUGCCUAAUACAUGCAAGUCGAGCGAACGGACGAGAAGCUUGCUUCUCUGAUGUUAGCGGCGGACGGGUGAGUAACACGUGGAUAACCUACCUAUAAGACUGGGAUAACUUCGGGAAACCGGAGCUAAUACCGGAUAAUAUUUUGAACCGCAUGGUUCAAAAGUGAAAGACGGUCUUGCUGUCACUUAUAGAUGGAUCCGCGCUGCAUUAGCUAGUUGGUAAGGUAACGGCUUACCAAGGCAACGAUGCAUAGCCGACCUGAGAGGGUGAUCGGCCACACUGGAACUGAGACACGGUCCAGACUCCUACGGGAGGCAGCAGUAGGGAAUCUUCCGCAAUGGGCGAAAGCCUGACGGAGCAACGCCGCGUGAGUGAUGAAGGUCUUCGGAUCGUAAACUCUGUUAUUAGGGAAGAACAUAUGUGUAAGUAACUGUGCACAUCUUGACGGUACCUAAUCAGAGGCCACGGCUAACUACGUCG
rnacentral:rRNA from 1 species